AUCAGUAGCUCGUGCGAGCAUGGCGCGACCCACUAGCCGUACUCUAGUACACGAUGUCAUGCUGUGUUUACGCAUGUGGUGAGCGGGCACAAACUUCCCUGCUGCUGUCGCUUACGGCCACCUCCAUAAGUAAACGAGUGCACGAAUCAGCUCAAUACCUACGUCCGUUGCUUUUUUUGUUCAUGUUGUAGCGGCACGCUUGUACACACAAAGAAGAAAAGGAGCGGGUGAAGAGGACUUUGUUUUUGCUGUAGCGGCCUCGCUCCAUCCAGUGCUUUAGUGCCGAGCCUUCUAAAUAGACGGCUCCCGCCUUGUAACAAUAUGUCAUGCGCGUAACUUUGCAUCCGUGGUCGACAUUGUAAUAACACAGAUACGGUAUAUUACACAGCUUCUGCUGAUCUUAGUUGUGCCCGUCAAGAUAUAGCCCAUCGCUGCACCGUUGACAACAAUUAGCUGCAAGUGCUGAUUGCUGCUGGUUGGCUCAGUCCAGAAUCAGGGCCAACCGAAAUGUUCAUCUGCUCAUGACUUUCAAGGAGUUCUUGGACGCAACUUCUCCAUGCUCACAAAGCACCCUGUGUUUCUUCCCCACUAGCAAUCAGCCCACGAGACACUAUAUUCUUGGUGAUUUCGCAUUCCAUUACCUUUCAGUAUGGACGCCCAGCAGCCAUACUUCAUCGUUAUAAAUGAUAAUGCGUCAUGAGGACAUUGAAGCCUCACAAAUGCGAUGAGCCUAGCUGAAAGCAUCACUGCCAAAAUGGCAUGCCAUGCCCCUUCAAAGAUCGGUGGUCAGGUCGAGGUUGGCAUGCAGUGCAGCUUGCCUCUGGCUGACAAGUCUGUUGGGUGCUCGUUCAAACCAGGGAGCGAGUCUAGGAGCGUGCAGACUAUGGAAGCUGUGGAGCAGUUAAGCUCCACCUCAGGUUUUGGUCACGACAUCCCAGAGCACAUCAUUGGCGAUGACUAAGCGGGCCUAGUUGUGUGCAACACUGCCCUCAGGCAAUGAGCAGCAUGCACUGGGCUCCUGAGGUGCACGCCAGCAAUCGCUUCAGACGACCUGUACGCAUGUUGAGACAUCAGUGGCGGACGGGACCUCUUUUGUACCACCUGUUUGUGCCAGCGGAUACUUAUUCUUCCUUAGCACUCUUGUUACAAGGUGCUAUCCACCUCUGCUGAUGCGAAAAGUGAAGCCUUCUCCCUACGAGAAAUGAGACACUAGUGAGCAAUUGAAGUGCCUUUGCAAUGAAUUGAAUCUGCUGUCAUCAGGAGAACUCGUCCACGGUGCUCUCAAGAGAAUUCCAUCAUGUGUCUUCAGUUUCACUGUCAACAGUGUAGCCGUUUUAGAACAAAGCCUCCAGUGAAAAUCGACAGUUGCUCUCUACUUUCUAUUCAUGUAAACCAUACAGCACACUGCCAUAAUCUUGCUUUGCACUUCCACCCAUUUUACCACAUUGUUUUCAAAUGCAGUUAUAAAGUCAAGGCCUGAAACGUUAUUCUUGCACCUCCAGCAGAAAUAACUCGUGUUUGGAGAAAGUUUGCAAAGUUGGCAUGUUUCCCACAAUAAUGACAAAAAUGAUGACGCUUUCUUCAUUUUGACAACUACAAACAAAGAAACUUUAUUUUGUUUCACUGUAUACUACAUGGCAGACACAGGAAGAUCGUGCUAGUUAUUUUGCGACAACCGACCAAAGCGCAACCUCUCCUUGGUAAUUCAGAUGCAUGCAGUUGCAGCGUAACAUUUUCAAAAUGGUUUAAAAGAUGUUUAUUGCCACGUGUGUGGAAUUCGAAUAUGUUCUUUUUAACAACAUAAUAAUCAUACAAUUGCCGACCGAUUUUCUUGGACACCCUAUUUUCUGGGCCGGCCGGAAUAUUUUAACUCUGCAAUAUUAUUGCCAAUUUGCUCCAUAUAGUUAUGUAUAAUAAUAACGAAAAUUUUGAUUGUUUCGAACUGGUCUCGUUUAAUUUUUUU